AUUGAACGCUGGCGGCAGGCCUAACACAUGCAAGUCGAGCGAGAAAGCACUUCGGUGUGAGUACAGCGGCGGACGGGUGAGUAACGCGUAGGAAUCUACCCAGUAGUGGGGGACAACAUGGUGAAAACCAUGCUAAUACCGCAUACGCCCUAUGGGGGAAAGCGGGGGGCCUUCGGGCCUCGCGCUAUUGGAUGAGCCUGCGUCGGAUUAGCUUGUUGGUGAGGUAAAGGCUCACCAAGGCGACGAUCCGUAGCUGGUCUGAGAGGAUGAUCAGCCACACUGGAACUGAGACACGGUCCAG
rnacentral:rRNA from 1 species